CAAACCAAAUCAAAUCCGGAUUGAAUUCCUCUCUAUCUCCAAGCCAAACCACCAUAGAUCCUCUCCUCUAUCUCCAAGAGUCCACGUGAGCCCAGCUGCAAUCUCUCUCCUCUAUCUCCAAGAGUCCAUACAGGAUCAAAUCUCCACCCAAAUCCAAUCGGAUAGAGCUGCAACCAAAUCUUUCAAAUCCCAACCGAUUUACCUUUGCUACCACCUAUAUAAAGAGGAGGUCUUGAUCUGUUGAAGAGAGGAAGAAAAAUUAGAGGAGGGGGGAGGCUUGGACACCUUGGUGAGGCCCUAUUGCAUCCAAUUGCUGCCGCACGAAAUCGCCGCCGCCGCCGCGCAAGUCCGCCGCGUGCCGUGAACACAGAGCGCAAGCCGUCGUCGCCAUGAACACCAGCUGCAUCUCCACCGCUAUUGACUCGCAAGGUGAGCCCCCGGCAUGAUUGCCGUUACUUCCCCUCUUUAUGUUCGUGCACGGCCGUGCCGUCGUAGCCGGUGCUCCGGCCGCGCCGUUGCGCUUCUCCCUCUCUGCUCUGUGAUAGCCCGGCCUUCGCGCCGUCGUGCUUUUGCCGUGGCCGGUGAUGUUAAAACUGAGGCCCGAUCGCCAUUUUUUUUUCUUUUUGUUCUUGCCCGUGCCUCUGUGCGUGCCAUCGUGCCGCCUUGAGCUCACUGUGAUGUCGUCGUGCUCGCCGUGGCCGGUGAUAAAAAACUGAGGCCCGGCUGUGAUCCCCUCCUCCUCUCCGUGAUGGUCGCAUUGCUAUUGCGCUCACACUUCUCCCCAGUCAUCGAGCCGUGGCGCUGCUGCAUAUGUUGUCUCUGUGACGCCUAAACCCGGCCGUCAUGCCGUGCGCAUUGCUUGCCGUGGCCGGUGAUGCUAAAACUGAGGCCCGGUUGUCGCCAUGUACCUGUCUGUUAUGCGCGCUGCUGUGUUUCAAAAGAGCCCAGCCACCACAUCUUGGCCGCCGUUAAAAAUCAUCUUCUCGGCUAAUCUUGCUGCUGUGGUUGCUAUCCAGAUUGCUUGCAGUGGCUAUGCGCAGGGAAAAGUUAUUCAAAGGGCUUCAUUUGUGGUAGCCCUGUUGAUUUGUUCAAUAAGCCUGAUGGUGACUUGGUGGUAUUGCUAAAGAGCUAUCUGUUGCUAAAGGUGUUGCUGGGUUAUGAUCUAUUGCCUGCAUGUUUGACCUGCUGCUACUCAGUUGUUAUGGCACUGUCAAGUGGCCGCUUGUGUUGCUUCACUGUUAUCUUCCUGCCGACAGAUGUGCUAUUUGGCAUGCUCUUUUGCCGAGCUGAUGAAAGGAUGAUGUUGUUGUGGGCUUCUUCUGGCUGCCCCUGUAUCAAGUGAUACAAUUGCAGAGAUUCUGUUACUGGUUGCCACCACGUCAUUGCCUUUGUGGCUCUGUUGAUUGGUUGGUACUGUGGCUUUGCCUUUGUGGCCUAAAAAGUGAUCACCCUCGUCUUUAUGGUCUUCGCCUUUGUGGCGCGUUGCCUUCGGUUGGCCGAUGAGGACAAGUCCGAGGCCCAAAGAGGAGCUAGUGAGUCAAGCACGGCGUCGGAGCUCCCGGUUGUGGCCAUGCUGCUGCUUUCGGUCGAAGCUACGCGUCGUGCCGCGCUCCUAGCCCACCUCUUCAUAAAAACACAAUUCUGAGGCCUAUGUGGCCGAUGAUGAUCCGGGAUACAUAAACA